rnacentral:rRNA from 1 species
GAUGAAUGCUGGCGGCAUGCCUAACACAUGCAAGUCGAUCGGUAAGGCUCUUCGGAGUACACGAGAGGCGGACGGCUGAGUAACGCGUAGGAACACACCCUGCAGUGAGGGAUAAGACACCGAAAGGUGUUCUAAUACCGCAUACGGUCUUCGGAUUAAAGCAUUUAUGCGCUGAAGGAGUGGCCUGCGUCAUAUUAGAUAGUUGGUGAGGUAAUGGCUCACCAAGUCGAUGAUGUGUAGCUGGUCUGAGAGGAUGAUCAGCCAGACUGGAACUGAGACACGGUCCAGACUCCUACGGGAGGCAGCAGUGAGGAAUAUUUCACAAUGAGCGAAAGCUUGAUGGAGCAAUGCCGCGUGCAGGAUGAAGGCCCUCGGGUUGUAAACUGCUUUUAUAAGAGAAGAUUAUGACGGUAACUUAUGAAUAAGGGACGGCUAACUACGUG